UACAGAGGGUGCAAGCGUUGUCCGGAAUCACUGGGCGUAAAGGGCGCGUAGGCGGCCUGAUAAGUCGGGGGGGAAAUUCUGCGGCUUAACCGCAGGACGGCCUUCGAGACUGUCGGGCUUGAGCACGGUAGAGGCAGGUGGAAUUCCCGGUGUAGCGGUGGAAUGCGUAGAGAUCGGGAAGAACACCUAUGGCGAAGGCAGCUCUCUGGGACGGUACUGACGCUGAGACGCGAAAGCGUGGGGAGCGAACAGG
rnacentral:rRNA from 1 species